rnacentral:rRNA from 1 species
AUUGAACGCUGGCGGCAUGCCUUACACAUGCAAGUCGAACGGCAGCACGGGUGCUUGCACCUGGUGGCGAGUGGCGAACGGGUGAGUAAUACAUCGGAACGUACCUUAUCGUGGGGGAUAACGCAGCGAAAGCUGUGCUAAUACCGCAUACGCCCUGAGGGGGAAAGCGGGGGAUCGAAAGACCUCGCGCGAUUAGAGCGGCCGAUGCCUGAUUAGCUUGUUGGUGGGGUAAAAGCCCACCAAGGCGACGAUCAGUAGCUGGUCUGAGAGGACAACGAGCCACACUGGGAAUGAGACACGGCCCAGACUCCUAGGGGAGGCAGCAGGGGGGAAUUUUGGAAAAGGGGGGCAACCCUGAUCCAGCAAUGCCGCGUGAGGGAAGAAGGCUUUCGGGUUGUAAAGCUCUUUUGUCAGGGAAGAAACACCGGCUCUAACACAGUCCGGGAAUGACGGUACCUGAAGAAUAAGCACCGGCUAACUACGUGCCAGCCGCCGCGGUAA